rnacentral:tmRNA from 1 species
UCUCUUGCAAAAACAUGCUUUGCUUCUUAUCUUCACAACUGCCUAGGGUUUUACUCUGGCUAUGGCGAUAAACGGUAGAUGGAAUAAGUGUUGUGGACCCGGGGCAGUACCCGGCGUCUCCACCAAAUUUCUUCCACUUUUGGGGACGAAACAGGCUCGACACGCAUGGUAAAGAUCUAUCUUUUGCCCGGCAUUGUACCGCCGUUAUCGGGCUAAACUUACAAGUGCCAACGAUAAUACUGAGGUGCUCGCUGUCGCAGCAUAAGCGAUAAGCGCGGUUCGGGGGAACCGGGCAACAGAAUCCCCCCACU